rnacentral:snoRNA from 2 species
AUCCUUUUGUAGUUCAUAAGUGUGACGAUUGGGUUUUUUCACGCUCAUGUGUGAGAUAUGCCUUCUUUAAAUGUUCUUACACCAUCAGCACAUUAUCCAUCUGACA